UCUUGGAACCCUGAGACCACCUCGUUUCUAGAAACUAAUUCUCUUGUCGCUGCUUGCUGUUUGUCUAUUUUCUCCACUUCCCUGCAAACAAGCAAACAAACAAACAAAUAAAAACUGAAUGCUUUGAAGCCAGAGCCAUAUCUUUUUCACAUUUACACCUCCCAAAUAAUAUCUGGCCUGCAAUAGGUGAGUAGUCUGUUUGUUGAAUUACAUCCUAACUACCCAUGACCUCACUAGCUCGCCACAGGUCUCUCUGAGGAAGUGACUGAUAUCAAACCACCUUUACAGCAGAUAAGGAUUCUCACGGAGACGGAGACAGAGGCGAGUCUUGGCAAAGCAGCCGAAGAAGCACCAGCUUACUGUCGUCCUCAGUGAAACCAUGCUUUGGAGAUGUCCAAUCUUCUACCUUUUCAUCUUCUGUACAGGGGUCUCUUUGGAUGUUAUUUUGGAACAAGUUGACAAAAGCCUAAAUGUUUCAGCUGGGAAUCAUGCCAUCUUCUACUGCACUGUAACAGGAGGGGACUUGAAGACUUACCAAAUGAGCUGGUAUAAGAAAAGUGAACAUAAUGCUCUGGUUUUAGUAUUCAAGCUAAAUAACAACUCUACUGAUGAUGUGAUGGGUAAUUUCAAAGGGAAAAUUGACAUUUCAAAAAGUGAAUUUGUGCUUGAGAUUCAAAAGGUAACAUUGGAAGAUGCCGGGACUUACUACUGUGGGUCAGAUAUCCACAGUGCGACAGUACCGCUUCCGAUCGCUUCAAGAAAGUCUAGGGUCAAACCAAGGCGCCAGACCCAAUGAGAGACUAUCUCAGGCUGAGCUCUACACCACAUCUGAGAUGGGACCUCCUGAUUACAGUAACAGUCACCUCUGAUAAGAGAGACUGGAGCUGAGUUGGGUCAAGGCCUGAUCUUUGAAGUUUCGACUCCAAUUGAAGAGAGAAGUAAAGGUCUCAAAGAGUUUGUGUGGCCAGACCAACAGGCCCUCAACCCUUGCUACC